rnacentral:rRNA from 1 species
CCUACGGGAGGCAGCAGUGAGGAAUAUUGGUCAAUGGACGAGAGUCUGAACCAGCCAAGUAGCGUGAAGGAUGACUGCCCUAUGGGUUGUAAACUUCUUUUAUAUGGGAAUAAAACGUUGUACGCGUAGGAUUUUGUAUGUACCAUAUGAAUAAGGAUCGGCUAACUCCGUGCCAGCAGCCGCGGUAAUACGGAGGAUCCGAGCGUUAUCCGGAUUUAUUGGGUUUAAAGGGAGCGUAGAUGGAUUGUUAAGUCAGUUGUGAAAGUUUGCGGCUCAACCGUAAAAUUGCAAUUGAUACUGGCAGUCUUGAGUACAGUAGAGGUAGGCGGAAUUCGUGGUGUAGCGGUGAAAUGCUUAGAUAUCACGAAGAACUCCGAUUGCGAAGGCAGCUCACUAAACUGCAACUGACAUUGAUGCUCGAAAGUGUGGGUAUCAAACAGGAUUAGAUACCCUUGUAGUC